GAGUAACGCGAGGGAAUCUACCCAUCUCUACGGAACAUCUCCGGGAAACUGGGAGCUUUAUCCCGUGAUACGUCCUUCGGGAGAAAGAUUUAUCGGAGAUGGAUGAGCCCGCGUUGGAUGAGCUAGUUGGUGGGGUAAUGGCCUACCAAGGCGACGAUCCAUAUCUGGUCUGAGAGGAUGAUCAGCCACAUUGGGACUGAGACACGGCCCAAACUCCUACGGGAGGCAGCAGUGGGGAAUAUUGGACAAUGGGCGAAAGCCUGAUCCAGCCAUGCCGCGUGAGUGAUGAAGGCCCUAGGGUUGUAAAGCUCUUUCAACGGUGAAGAUAAUGACGGUAACCGUAGAAGAAGCCCCGGCUAACUUCGUGCCAGCAGCCGCGGUAAUACGAAGGGGGCUAGCGUUGUUCCGGAAUUACUGGGCGGUAAAGCCGCACGUA
rnacentral:rRNA from 1 species